rnacentral:rRNA from 1 species
UACGUAGGGUGCAGGCGUUAAUCAGAAUUACUGGGCGUAAAGCGUGCGCAGGCGGUUUGCUAAGACAGGUGUGAAAUCCCCGGGCUUAACCUGGGAACUGCGCUUGUAACUGGCAAGCUGGAGUGUGGCAGAGGGGGGUGGAAUUCCACGUGUAGCAGUGAAAUGCGUAGAGAUGUGGAGGAACACCGAUGGCGAAGGCAGCCCCCUGGGCUAACACUGACGCUCAUGCACGAAAGCGUGGGGAGCAAACAGG